UUGUGCCUACGGGAGGCAGCAGUAGGGAAUCUUCCACAAUGGGCGAAAGCCUGAUGGAGCAACGCCGCGUGGGGGAAGAAGGUCUUCGGAUCGUAAAACCCUGUUGUUAGAGAAGAAAGUGCGUGAGAGUAACUGUUCACGUUUCGACGGUAUCUAACCAGAAAGCCACGGCUAACUAGGUGCCAGCAGCCGCGGUAAUACGUAGGUGGCAAGCGUUAUCCGGAUUUAUUGGGCGUAAAGGGAACGCAGGCGGUCUUUUAAGUCCGAUGUGGAAGC
rnacentral:rRNA from 1 species